rnacentral:rRNA from 1 species
CCUACGGGAGGCAGCAGUGGGGAAUAUUGCACAAUGGGCGCAAGCCUGAUGCAGCCACGCCGCGUGUAUGAAGAAGGCCUUCGGUUCGUAAAGUACUUUCAGCAGGGAAGAAAGUGGUAAAGUUUAUACCUUUGCUCAUUGACGUUACCCGCCGAAGAAGCACCGGCUAACUCCGUGCCAGCAGCCGCGGUAAUACGGAGGGUGCAAGCGUUAAUCGGAAUUACUGGGCGUAAAGGGCACGCAGGCGGUUUGUUAAGUCAGAUGUGAAAUCCCCUGGCUUAACCUGGGAACUGCAUUUGACACUGGGAAGCGUGAGUGUAGGAGAGGGGAGUAGAAUUCCAGGUGUAGCGGUGAAAUGCGUAGAGAUAUGGAGGAACACCGGUGGCGAAGGCGGCCCCCUGGAC